GUCUACGGCCAUACCACCCUGAACACGCCCGAUCUUGUCUGAUCUCUGGAGCUAAGCAGGAUCGGGCCUGGUUAGUACUUGGAUGGGAGACCACCUGGGAAUACCCAGUGCUAUAUGCU
rnacentral:rRNA from 1 species